rnacentral:rRNA from 1 species
AGCGUGAGCGUGCUAAGGUAGCGUAAUAAUUAGCCUUUUAAUUGGAGGCCAGUGAAUGGCAAGACUAGGAAUAGCUGUACUUUGUGUAUAAAAAGAACUUUUCGUCUAAGUGAAAAGACUUAGAUAACAAAGGAAGACGAAAAGACCCCGCGGAACUUUACCUUUUCUUAAACUUCUGUCUACAAACUUAAAGGUUUAAUAGGUUUGAUUGGGGCAAUCUUGGAACCAGUAAAACUUCCAAUUUUUUAAAAUAAACAUAUGAAAUUUGUUGAGGACUAAAAAGUAGUUACCCCGGGGAUAACAGCGUAAUCCAACUUAAGAGUACACAUCGAAAGUUGGGUUUGCGACCUCGAUGU